GGACCGCUAGCUCAGUUGGUAGAGCAACUGACUCUUAAUCAGUGGGUCUAGGGUUCGAAUCCCUAGCGGUCCACCA
rnacentral:tRNA from 1 species